GAGGUACUCCCGCCGUCCCAAAAUUCUUGUCUUAGAUUGUAUCUAGUCACAUUUUAGUAUUUAGAUACAUUUAUUUCUAGACAAACCUAAGACAAGAAUUUUGGGACAGAGGAAGUGCUAC
rnacentral:pre_miRNA from 1 species